GAAAGAAGAGAAUUCUCUGGAGACUACAGGUGUCAGGUGGCUAAUAUAGGGUUCUUAUAGUGUUCUUCACCGACCUUUCGAGGGGGAGAAGAGAACUAUCACGAGUCUCUCUCUCUCUCUGGGGAUACAUCUAUGGGAUAUUCCUCAUUUCUCUAGAGCUCUCUCUUUGUAUCUCGCCGCAAAACUAAAAGACAAUCUCUUUGUUCUGAGGUUGUCACCCAAACACAGUUAGCUAUAAUCAUCCAGGGAAAUUCUGUUAAAUGAAAGGAAGUUUCUUUUGGGCAUGAUCUCGAUAAUAAGUGGUGGAUAAUUCAUGUUCCUCCUUCAAUUGCAGAGUUGGGUAAUUGCUUGUGUUUACCCAAUUUCAUUUUAAAGGAAGGAAGUUCUCAGGCUCGGUAUUUUGUAUCGCGGCUCAUUCCUGCGCACAAGGAUCCUCCUUAUGAGCAGGAGGCAAGAUUUCCUCAGCUACGAACUUUGACAAUAGAACAGCGCGCAAAGCUGAAAAGCAGUUUUAUUUGUUUUGAUGAUCCUAGCUUCUGUGAGUGGGUACGAAGCUUGAGAGUGGUUCCGCAGAACCAAGUUAGAUGGUCGGUUCGCCAGAACCAAGUUAGAUGGUCUUAGCCUUUGUUAAUCUUGAUGGCUAACGUCACUACAAAAAGUCAGUGUUACAAGUUAUAUUAGAGCAAAAUUGUGUCUUGCCGAGAAAAUUUUUUGUUUUUUCAUUUUCACUGGUAGAGGAAAUUGUAGUUGAGAUAUGUCUGGACAGGAAAGGUAUAGUUCUCAUCUCCUUAAUACGAUUAGCAGCUAACUUUGUCCUAUAGCAGCUGCUGGUUUACAUGGUCCUUGAAUGCAAGAUUUUGUUUGGAGCUUCUUUUGCUUUUAGUUUAUACCUUGCGAGGGAAUAAUGGGGUUUAUAGUCAAGAAUGGACUGGCCUCUUGUGUCCUAUAGACAUUUGUUGGUUGGGUGCUCCCCAAA